UUUUUUAACUCAAGGAUGCUGUAGUUUAACUACUCUAGUGAGGGUUUUCAAACACACUCAUUCCUGUUUUUUCUUCAACGCCUCCAUACAAUUUGGUUAGUAUUUGAAUCAGAUCCAUUCUCUAAUUAUUUUUGUUUCUUCAUUUCUAUAUCUUCCUCUAAUGUUCAUAUUGGUAUGGGACAAGACGCCCUUGGAAAAAGGUGCCGGCCACCAGUAUUUGACGAUGCUGCGGGAAAGGCAAACAACUCGAGCGAAUCUGAUGACAGUUUAAGUUUGGGAGGUUUUGUGAAAGCAAAAGGGCAAGUGAUUAAAUCAUUACUCUGCUGCAUUGCGUAGACCCUCCAAUAUGACUUGUCGUGUUGAGUCAUUUGGUAGAAUAUGCCAGAAAUUCGAUGAAAGGAGAAAAAGAUGGGUUUGUGAUAUGGGGUUUGGGGGGCUCCUACAUUUUGCUUCCCGUAUGCACUUACCACGACAGUUAGCAUACUGGAUUAUGACUCGUAUUGAUCCUAUUAAUAGGUGUUUAAUAGGCACAAAUGGUCGUUCGAUUUACUUUUCAAAGAACCAAGUGCAUUGGAUUUUAGGAAUUCCUAAUGGGGAGAAACCAGUCCCUACAUCCAAGGAAAUGUCAGGUGUAGUUAAGAUGAAGGUCCAAAAAAUAUUGUUAAAGUAUGGAAGGGCGUGGAAGACAAAAGCUAAUAAACAUGGGUCUGGGACAUGUACUUCAGUUGGCAUUCCUGUUACUGGGAUCAUGAUGGAUAGAUUGGAGGGACAUUUUGAUCCAGAUGAAGAAGAAGAAUUUAAAACCUUGUUCCUAAUCAUUUCUCUACAUAUGAUUAUGUAUCCAACACAAUCCCCAAGAAUGUCAACUGAUUUGCUACCGGCAUUGAGUUGUUGUAUGGAUAGCCAAAACUAUGAUUGGUGUGAAUUGGUAUUGAACAAAUUAAAUUUCUAGAGAUUGUCUCAAAUUUUGCUCGGCGGUUUUAUGCUAUGGAUUUGCAGGUGGUAGCGGUGGUUGUUCAAUUUUUGCAGUUAUUUUCUAUUUGGAUCGAUUAAACUUGGAUCCCAAUGCGUGGGAUACAUAUCCUCGAGUGAAGGCAUGGAGCAUGCAGAGAAUUGGGUAUUCAUGCAAGCUUGACCGAACUUAUUCCAGUGACUAUGGAAAACUAGGGGUAUGUAGGUUAUAGAUGUGGCUUAUGGUGAAAGACAUCCUAAGGUAGCACGGGACACAUCCGGACCACCUCAAUGUCCAACUUAUGAUGUGGGUAUAGUUCUUUGGUAAAUUUAUAUUGCAAGGGUUACAAAUGCACCAUCACUCUUUAACGAUUUGUAUUUCAUUUUUGUGUAGGAUGUUUCGGCCCAUGUUCCCAGUAGUAUUUUACCCCCGUCCCUUAGUCAUAAUUAGUAGUGUUUUUGGCUCUUUAGAGCCAUUUUUAUUACUAAUUGGUGUUUUCUAGUGUUUUCGUA